AACGAACGCUGGCGGCAGGCUUAGCACAUGCAAGUCGAACGCACCGCAAGGUGAGUGGCAGACGGGUGAGUAACACGUGGGGAUCUGCCCAAUGGUACGGAAUAGCUCCGGGAAACUGGAAUUAAUACCGUAUGAGCCCGCAAGGGGAAAGAUUUAUCGCCAUUGGAUGAACCCGCGUCGGAUUAGCUAGUUGGGGUGGUAAAGGCGCACCAAGGCGACGAUCCGUAGCUGGUCUGAGAGGAUGAUCAGCCACACUGGGACUGAGACACGGCCCAGACUCCUACGGGAGGCAGCAGUGGGGAAUAUUGGACAAUGGGCGCAAGCCUGAUCCAGCCAUGCCGCGUGAGUGAUGAAGGCCUUAGGGUUGUAAAGCUCUUUCGCCGACGAAGAUAAUGACGGUAGUCGGAGAAGAGGCCCCGGCUAACUUCGUGCCAGCCGCCGCGGUAACAC
rnacentral:rRNA from 1 species